AUGGCUGGAGUGGCAACAUCUCGACUUGGCUUGUGGAUGUUUGACUUAUCUGUCAUCCAACAAAUGCAGGAUCAAGUUUCUGAAUCUGAUCGUUGUGUUGUGGGAGGUGUCCAGAACUCUCUUCAGUCUAUUCUAGACUUGUUAGGUUAUGUGAUGGGAAUAAUCAUCUCCAAUCCACAGGAUUUCUGGGAAUUGACUUUAUUAUCAUUUUCAGCGGUAACAUUGGCUGCAUUACUCUACAGCAUUUAUCUAUUUCGUGUUCGGAAGCAC
rnacentral:misc_RNA from 1 species